rnacentral:rRNA from 2 species
UAUAAUGGGUCAGCGACUUAUAUUCUGUAGCAAGGUUAACCGUAUAGGGGAGCCGCAGGGAAACCGAGUCUUAACUGGGCGUUAAGUUGCAGGGUAUAGACCCGAAACCCGGUGAUCUAGCCAUGGGCAGGUUGAAGGUUGGGUAACACUAACUGGAGGACCGAACCGACUAAUGUUGAAAAAUUAGCGGAUGACUUGUGGCUGGGGGUGAAAGGCCAAUCAAACCGGGAGAUAGCUGGUUCUCCCCGAAAGCUAUUUAGGUAGCGCCUCGUGAAUUCAUCUUCGGGGGUAGAGCACUGUUUCGGCUAGGGGGUCAUCCCGACUUACCAACCCGAUGCAAACUACGAAUACCGAAGAAUGUUAUCACGGGAGACACACGGCGGGUGCUAACGUCCGUCGUGAAGAGGGAAACAACCCAGACCGCCAGCUAAGGUCCCAAAGUCAUGGUUAAGUGGGAAACGAUGUGGGAAGGCACAGACAGCCAGGAUGUUGGCUUAGAAGCAGCCAUCAUUUAAAGAAAGCGUAAUAGCUCACUGGUCGAGUCGGCCUGCGCGGAAGAUGUAACGGGGCUAAACCAUGCACCGAAGCUGCGGCAGCGACACUAUGUGUUGUUGGGUAGGGGAGCG